UACGUAGGGGGCAAGCGUUGUCCGGAAUCAUUGGGCGUAAAGAGCGUGUAGGCGGCCCGGUAAGUCCGCUGUGAAAGUCCAGGGCUCAACCCUGGGAUGCCGGUGGAUACUGUCGGGCUCGAGUACGGAAGAGGCGAGUGGAAUUCCUGGUGUAGCGGUGAAAUGCGCAGAUAUCAGGAGGAACACCAAUUGCGAAGGCAGCUCGCUGGGACGUUACUGACGCUGAGACGCGAAAGCGUGGGGAGCAAACAGG
rnacentral:rRNA from 1 species